rnacentral:rRNA from 1 species
CAGUAGCCGCGGGAAUACGUAGGGUGCGAGCGUUAAUCGGAAUUACUGGGCGUAAAGCGUGCGCAGGCGGUUGUGUAAGACAGGUGUGAAAUCCCCGGGCUUAACCUGGGAACUGCGCUUGUGACUGCACAGCUAGAGUAUGGCAGAGGGGGGUGGAAUUCCACGUGUAGCAGUGAAAUGCGUAGAGAUGAGGAGGAACACCGAUGGCGAAGGCAGCCCCCUGGGCCAAUACUGACGCUCAUGCACGAAAGCGUGGGGAGCAAACAGGAUUAGAUACCCCUGUAGUCCCUGUCUCUUAUAC